rnacentral:tRNA from 1 species
GGGUGUGGCGCAGUUGGUAGCGCGCGUGCUUUGGGAGCAUGCAGGCAGUUCCUGUCUUUUCAUUUUUCCA